rnacentral:rRNA from 1 species
ACGUAGGAGACGAGCGUUAUCCGGAUUUACUGGGCGUAAAGAGCGUGUAGGAGGCAAUACAAGUUGGAUGUAAAAGCUCUCGGCUAAACUGAGAGAGGACGGUCAAGACUGUAGAGCUAGAGGAAGGGAGAGGUAAAUGGAAUUCCGGGGGUAGUGGUGAAAUGCGUAGAUAUUAGGAAGAACACCAGAGGCGAAGGCGAUUUGCUGGACUUUAACUGACGCUGAGACGCGAAAGCGUGGGUAGCGAACGG